ensembl:snRNA U1 U1 spliceosomal RNA
AUACUUACCUGGCAGGGGAGAUACCAUGAUCACGAAGGUGGUUUUCCCAGGGCGAGGCUUAUCCAUUGCACUCCGGAUGUGCUGACCCCUGCGAUUUCCCCAAAUGUGGGAAACUGGACUGCAUAAUUUGUGGUAGUGGGGGACUGCGUUCGCGCUUUCCCCUG